GCCUCGGUAGCUUAGCCUGGUAAAGCACGUGCCUUGUAAGCACGAGAUCGAGGGAUCGAAAUGGGACUGCACGAGAUGCCCUCCCGAGGCU
rnacentral:tRNA from 1 species